GAUGAACGCUAGCUACAGGCUUAACACAUGCAAGUCGCGGGGCAGCAUGGGGGUUGCUUGCAAUCCCCGAUGGCGACCGGCGCACGGGUGAGUAACGCGUAUCCAACCUGCCCUUCACCACGGGAUAACCCGGCGAAAGUCGGACUAAUACCGUAUGUUGUCCAUUGACGGCAUCCGCUUUGGACGAAAGGCUUGGCGGUGAGGGAUGGGGAUGCGUCCGAUUAGCCAGACGGCGGGGUAACGGCCCACCGUGGCUACGAUCGGUAGGGGUUCUGAGAGGAAGGUCCCCCACACUGGAACUGAGACACGGUCCAGACUCCUACGGGAGGCAGCAGUGAGGAAUAUUGGUCAAUGGGCGUAAGCCUGAACCAGCCAAGUAGCGUGCAGGAUGACGGCCCUAUGGGUUGUAAACUGCUUUUAUGCGGGGAUAAAGUGGCCCACGUGUGGGCUUUUGCAGGUACCGCAUGAAUAAGGACCGGCUAAUUCCGUG
rnacentral:rRNA from 1 species